AACGAACGCUGGCGGCAGGCCUAACACAUGCAAGUCGAGCGAACCCUUCGGGGUUAGCGGCGGACGGGUUAGUAACGCGUGGGAAUAUACCCUUUGGUACGGAAUAGCCUCGGGAAACUGAGAGUAAUACCGUAUGUGCCCUUGGGGAAGAUUUAUCGCCAAAGGAUUAGCCCGCGUUGGAUUAGAUAGUUGGUGGGGUAAUGGCCUACCAAGUCUACGAUCCAUAGCUGGUUUGAGAGGAUGAUCAGCAACACUGGGACUGAGACACGGCCCAGACUCCUACGGGAGGCAGCAGUGGGGAAUCUUAGACAAUGGGCGCAAGCCUGAUCUAGCCAUGCCGCGUGGACGAUGAAGGCCUUAGGGUUGUAAAGUCCUUUUCAGAUGGGAAGAUAAUGACGGUACCAUCAGAAGAAGCCCCGGCUAACUCCGUGCCAGCAGCCGCGGUUAAUGUCGAUAUCG
rnacentral:rRNA from 1 species